rnacentral:rRNA from 1 species
ACGCUCGACACCUAGGGAGCAGCAGUGGGGAAUAUUGCACAAUGGGGGAAACCCUGAUGCAGCGACGCCGCGUGGAGGAAGAAGGUCUUCGGAUUGUAAACUCCUGUUGUUGGGGAAAAAGAGGAUGGUACCCAACAAGGAAGUGACGGCUAACUACGUGCCGGCAGCCGCGGUAAUCUGAGCGGGCUGGCAAGGC